UCAAAUUUGAAAUCUGGCCUCUUCGGGGUCCGAGUUGUAAUUUGUAGAGGGUGUUUCGGGCGCGAUGCCGGUCUAAGUUCCUUGGAACAGGACGUCGCAGAGGGUGAGAAUCCCGUACGCGACCGGCGAUCAAGCCUGUGUGAAGCCCCUUCGACGAGUCGAGUUGUUUGGGAAUGCAGCUCAAAAUGGGUGGUAAAUUUCAUCUAAAGCUAAAUAUUGGCCAGAGACCGAUAGCGGACAAGUAGAGUGAUCGAAAGAUGAAAAGCACUUUGGAAAGAGAGUCAAACAGUACGUGAAAUUGUUGAAAGGGAAGCGCUUGCAAUCAGACCGGUCCGGAGGCGAUCAGCCGUCUGCUCGUUCAGCGGUGCACUCGCCUGCGAUCCGGCCAGCAUCGGUUUGGGCGGUGGGAUAAAAGUCCCGGGAAUGUAGCUUCUCUCGGGGAGUCUUAUAGCCCGGGUCGCAAUGCCGCCUGCCCGGACCGAGGACCGCGCUUCGGCUAGGAUGCUGGCGUAAUGGUUGCAAGCG
rnacentral:rRNA from 1 species